GAUGAACGCUGGCGGCGUGCCUAAUACAUGCAAGUCGAGCGAACGGACGAGAAGCUUGCUUCUCUGAUGUUAGCGGCGGACGGGUGAGUAACACGUGGAUAACCUACCUAUAAGACUGGGAUAACUUCGGGAAACCGGAGCUAAUACCGGAUGAUAUUUUGAACCGCAUGGUUCAAAAGUGAAAGACGGUCUUGCUGUCACUUAUAGCUGGAUCCGCGCUGCAUUAGCUAGUUGUUAAGGUAACGGCUUACCAAGGCAACGAUGCAUACCCGACCUGAGAGGGUGAUCGGCCACACUGGAACUGAGACACGGUCGAGACUCCGACGGGAGGCAGCAGUAGGGAAUCUUACGCAAGGGGCGAGAGCCUGACGGAGCAACGCCGGGUGAGUGAUGAAGGUCUUCGGAUCGUAAAACUCUGUUAGUAGGGAAGAACAUAUGUGUAAGUAACUGUGCACAUCUUGACGGUACCUAAUCAGAAAGCCACGGCUAACUACGUG
rnacentral:rRNA from 1 species